GAUGAACGCUAGCUACAGGCUUAACACAUGCAAGUCGAGGGGCAGCAUUUUAGUUUGCUUGCAAACUGAAGAUGGCGACCGGCGCACGGGUGAGUAACACGUAUCCAACCUGCCGAUAACUCUGGAAUAGCCUUUCGAAAGAAAGAUUAAUACCGGAUGGCAUACGAAUAUCGCAUGAUAUUUUUAUAAAGAAUUUCGGUUAUCGAUGGGGAUGCGUUCCAUUAGUUUGUUGGCGGGGUAACGGCCCACCAAGACAACGAUGGAUAGGGGGUUCUGAGAGGAAGGUCCCCCCACAUUGGAACUGAGACACGGUCCAAACUCCUACGGGAGCAGCAGUGAGGAAUAUUGGUCAAUGGGCGAGAGCCUGAACCAGCCAAGUAGCGUGAGGGAUGAAGGUUCUAU
rnacentral:rRNA from 1 species